UACAGAGGGGGCAAGCGUUGUUCGGAAUUACUGGGCGUAAAGGGCGCGUAGGCGGCCGCCUAAGUCAGACGUGAAAUCCCUCGGCUCAACCGGGGGACUGCGUCUGAUACUGGGUGGCUUGAAUCCGGGAGAGGGAUGCGGAAUUCCAGGUGUAGCGGUGAAAUGCGUAGAUAUCGGAAGGAACAUCAGUGGCGAAAGCGACUUCCUGGACCAGUACCGACGUUCAGGCACGAAAGCGUGGGGAGCAAACAGG
rnacentral:rRNA from 1 species